AUUGUACUCCCUCCAUCUCAAAAUUUUUGUCUUAGAUUUGUCUAAAUACGGAUGUAUCAAGUCAUGUUUUAGUAUUAGGUACAUCCGUAUCUAGACAAUUCUAAGACAAGAAUUUUGAGACGGAGAGAGUAGUAA
rnacentral:pre_miRNA from 1 species